CAGGGAGCAGAUUAUGCGUCACCCGAUCUGUUUGAUCAUAGUCAAUAAACCGUGUCACCACGUUAUUGACGUCAUCAGCUUUUUUCUGUGCCUCAAUCUGCAACAGAGUGUAAAACCUUUGCUGAUCUGAUUCGCGAAAGAGCAGAAUGAACCAGUUUCUCUAGUUCCAUAAGGUCAGUCACACUCAGAUGCUCAAGUUCAGAAACACCAAAGUGGCUGCAAUGAAAUUUAAUUAGAUCAGUGAUUCGUUCAUACCUUAACGUUGCAGGAAGACGAAUACAAAGAAUCACCUUUGGACCAAUUGAGAAAACGCUUCAUCAGACCAGAUAUCUGCAAUUUCAAAGCGGAGUCCCUGCGACCAAAUAAUAAUUAUAAUAUCAAUGAUCUCGGUUGUGAUAUGUUUUUCCAAGCAUCAGUUCAACAUUUUGCAUAAUUUGCUUCAAAUAAUUCCCCUAAAACAACAAUAUUUUAUGUAUCACUUUCUUUUGCUCUGCCACCUUUUAGACUAAAAGAAAUUAAAAUACAAGCUUGGCGAAGCUAAGCACAAUAAAGCAUAUUUUCAUUUGAAGUGAGAGAGAGAGAGAGAACCCGAGAUAAAAGCAACAAAACUUGGAUAUGCAAGUUUCGGUGUAUUGAGAACUUUACCUUUAUUGUAACAUUAAGAAAUGUAAUAUCGACACCCCUAGCUUUCAUAUUGAAAGUCUCCUACUUGUUAUUUUAGUUCCCAUGUUAGCCACACUAUCUAUAUGAUACCUUGACAAUAUUACGUGCUC